GCGUGGGCCGGGGCGUUCCCCGCCCGGAGGACGGAGGGAGGGAGGGGCCCGGUUUGUUGUGCUGGCCAAGUUUCCUGGCCUUCCCUGGAAGCUGCCCUUGGCUUUGAACGGCUUCCCUGCUUGGAGCCCCGUUGUUAGAGUGGGGAUUUCGCUUCUCCGGGUUUUAGUCGCUACUAAGCAGGAGAGGAAGCGAGCGAGCGCCCCGUCACAGCCCAGCGUAGGGCUGGGCCCCCUGGGAUUCAGUUUCCCAAGACGGCUGAUCCUGUUUUCAGCCACGCCCGAGCACACACACUGGGCAGCAACCUGGACAGCGUCAUUCGGAAACCAGAAAGACCACUACCAAAGAAAAUAAUGGAGAAAGUUAAUUCAAAUUAAUCGUAAAAGGAUGUCGCUGCAUUCAUUUUUCAUGAUAUCCCAUUGUUGAAGAUUUACCAGCAUACCUGAAUGAAGGGGAAUAUGUCUUUCAUUUUACAGAUGAGAAAUGGAGGUCCAGAAAGGUUACCAAGGUCAUUCAGGGCUAAAUCGUCUGGUCUCUCUGCCUGCAAAAGCGGCACUGGCUCAUUUAAGAGAUGUGGAAAUAUUCUCACCAAUGCAAUGGUACAGAAGAGUUCCAGGGAACUCAUGAUAGAAGAGGAUCUCCAAAUCCAAGAAAAAAAAAGAAAGAAAGAACUGUGGACUAUAGAUGCUGAUUG